UUCCGGUUGAUCCUGCCGGACCCGACUGCUAUCAGAGUGAGAUUAAGCCAUGCGAGUUAACGUAGCAAUACGUGGCGCACGGCUCAGUAACACGUAGUCAACAUGCCCAGAGGACGUGGAUAACCUCGGGAAACUGAGUCUAAACCGCGAUAAGUGAGGAUUUCUGGAAUGGUUCCUGGCUCAAACCUAUAUGGCCCCUGGAUUGGACUGCGGCCGAUCAGGCUGUUGGUGAGGUAAUGGCCCACCAAACCUAUUACCGGUACGGGCCUUGAGAGAGGUGGCCCGGAGAUGGACACUGAGAGAAGGGUCUAGGUCCUACGGGGCGCAGCAGGCGCGAAACCUUCGCAAUGCGCGAAAGCGUGACGAGGUUAAUCCGAGUGGCCCCCGCUGAGGGGGUCUUUUGUCGGCUGUAAAUAGGCCGGCGAAUAAGGGGAGGGCAAGCCUGGUGUCAGCCGCCGCGGUAAUACCAGCUCCUCGAGUGGUCGGGGCGAUUAUUGGGCCUAAAGCAUCCGUAGCCGGUUCCGUAGGUCCUCUGUUAAAUCCAACCGCUUAACGGUUGACCUGCAGAGGAUACCGCGGGACUAGGAGGCGGGAGAGGCGGACGGUACUCCGCGUGUAGGGGUAAAAUCCUUUGAUCCGCGGAAGACCACCAGUGGCGAAGGCGGUCCGCCAGAACGCGCUCGACGGUGAGGGAUGAAAGCUGGGGGAGCGAACCGGAUUAGAUACCCGGGUAGUCCCAG
rnacentral:rRNA from 1 species